rnacentral:ncRNA from 1 species
CUUACAAAUAAUUGUUGCGGUGCCGGAUGAUUACUUCAUAUCAAUCAGCCGGCUUAAAAGGGAACCGUGUGAAAAUCACGGGCUGACGGGCAACUGUAAGUUGGGUGAUUGGAAAGUUAACAGUCCUCAUUCUUCAAUAACAACCCAGUCAUUAAGCUGAUACUACAAUGACCACUGCCAAUGACCGGUGAAAGCCACAUGGGCGGGAAGGUGUUCAGCAAACCAACAAGCCAGGAGACCUGCCGUUGACAAAAUAUGUUU